AGCGUACACGGUGGAUGCCCUGGCAGUCAGAGGCGAUGAAGGACGUGCUAAUCUGCGAUAAGCGUCGGUAAGGUGAUAUGAACCGUUAUAACCGGCGAUUUCCGAAUGGGGAAACCCAGUGUGUUUCGACACACUAUCAUUAACUGAAUCCAUAGGUUAAUGAGGCGAACCGGGGGAACUGAAACAUCUAAGUACCCCGAGGAAAAGAAAUCAACCGAGAUUCCCCCAGUAGCGGCGAGCGAACGGGGAGCAGCCCAGAGCCUGAAUCAGUGUGUGUGUUAGUGGAAGCGUCUGGAAAGGCGCGCGAUACAGGGUGACAGCCCCGUACACAAAAAUGCACAUGCUGUGAGCUCGAUGAGUAGGGCGGGACACGUGGUAUCCUGUCUGAAUAUGGGGGGACCAUCCUCCAAGGCUAAAUACUCCUGACUGACCGAUAGUGAACCAGUACCGUGAGGGAAAGGCGAAAAGAACCCCGGCGAGGGGAGUGAAAAAGAACCUGAAACCGUGUACGUACAAGCAGUGGGAGCACGCUUAGGCGUGUGACUGCGUACCUUUUGUAUAAUGGGUCAGCGACUUAUAUUCUGUAGCAAGGUUAACCGAAUAGGGGAGCCGAAGGGAAACCGAGUCUUAACUGGGCGUUAAGUUGCAGGGUAUAGACCCGAAACCCGGUGAUCUAGCCAUGGGCAGGUUGAAGGUUGGGUAACACUAACUGGAGGACCGAACCGACUAAUGUUGAAAAAUUAGCGGAUGACUUGUGGCUGGGGGUGAAAGGCCAAUCAAACCGGGAGAUAGCUGGUUCUCCCCGAAAGCUAUUUAGGUAGCGCCUCGUGAAUUCAUCUCCGGGGGUAGAGCACUGUUUCGGCAAGGGGGUCAUCCCGACUUACCAACCCGAUGCAAACUGCGAAUACCGGAGAAUGUUAUCACGGGAGACACACGGCGGGUGCUAACGUCCGUCGUGAAGAGGGAAACAACCCAGACCGCCAGCUAAGGUCCCAAAGUCAUGGUUAAGUGGGAAACGAUGUGGGAAGGCCCAGACAGCCAGGAUGUUGGCUUAGAAGCAGCCAUCAUUUAAAGAAAGCGUAAUAGCUCACUGGUCGAGUCGGCCUGCGCGGAAGAUGUAACGGGGCUAAACCAUGCACCGAAGCUGCGGCAGCGACGCUUAUGCGUUGUUGGGUAGGGGAGCGUUCUGUAAGCCUGCGAAGGUGUGCUGUGAGGCAUGCUGGAGGUAUCAGAAGUGCGAAUGCUGACAUAAGUAACGAUAAAGCGGGUGAAAAGCCCGCUCGCCGGAAGACCAAGGGUUCCUGUCCAACGUUAAUCGGGGCAGGGUGAGUCGACCCCUAAGGCGAGGCCGAAAGGCGUAGUCGAUGGGAAACAGGUUAAUAUUCCUGUACUUGGUGUUACUGCGAAGGGGGGACGGAGAAGGCUAUGUUGGCCGGGCGACGGUUGUCCCGGUUUAAGCGUGUAGGCUGGUUUUCCAGGCAAAUCCGGAAAAUCAAGGCUGAGGCGUGAUGACGAGGCACUACGGUGCUGAAGCAACAAAUGCCCUGCUUCCAGGAAAAGCCUCUAAGCAUCAGGUAACAUCAAAUCGUACCCCAAACCGACACAGGUGGUCAGGUAGAGAAUACCAAGGCGCUUGAGAGAACUCGGGUGAAGGAACUAGGCAAAAUGGUGCCGUAACUUCGGGAGAAGGCACGCUGAUAUGUAGGUGAGGUCCCUCGCGGAUGGAGCUGAAAUCAGUCGAAGAUACCAGCUGGCUGCAACUGUUUAUUAAAAACACAGCACUGUGCAAACACGAAAGUGGACGUAUACGGUGUGACGCCUGCCCGGUGCCGGAAGGUUAAUUGAUGGGGUUAGCCGCAAGGCGAAGCUCUUGAUCGAAGCCCCGGUAAACGGCGGCCGUAACUAUAACGGUCCUAAGGUAGCGAAAUUCCUUGUCGGGUAAGUUCCGACCUGCACGAAUGGCGUAAUGAUGGCCAGGCUGUCUCCACCCGAGACUCAGUGAAAUUGAACUCGCUGUGAAGAUGCAGUGUACCCGCGGCAAGACGGAAAGACCCCGUGAACCUUUACUAUAGCUUGACACUGAACAUUGAGCCUUGAUGUGUAGGAUAGGUGGGAGGCUUGGAAGUGUGGACGCCAGUCUGCAUGGAGCCGACCUUGAAAUACCACCCUUUAAUGUUUGAUGUUCUAACGUUGACCCGUAAUCCGGGUUGCGGACAGUGUCUGGUGGGUAGUUUGACUGGGGCGGUCUCCUCCUAAAGAGUAACGGAGGAGCACGAAGGUUGGCUAAUCCUGGUCGGACAUCAGGAGGUUAGUGCAAUGGCAUAAGCCAGCUUGACUGCGAGCGUGACGGCGCGAGCAGGUGCGAAAGCAGGUCAUAGUGAUCCGGUGGUUCUGAAUGGAAGGGCCAUCGCUCAACGGAUAAAAGGUACUCCGGGGAUAACAGGCUGAUACCGCCCAAGAGUUCAUAUCGACGGCGGUGUUUGGCACCUCGAUGUCGGCUCAUCACAUCCUGGGGCUGAAGUAGGUCCCAAGGGUAUGGCUGUUCGCCAUUUAAAGUGGUACGCGAGCUGGGUUUAGAACGUCGUGAGACAGUUCGGUCCCUAUCUGCCGUGGGCGCUGGAGAACUGAGGGGGGCUGCUCCUAGUACGAGAGGACCGGAGUGGACGCAUCACUGGUGUUCGGGUUGUCAUGCCAAUGGCACUGCCCGGUAGCUAAAUGCGGAAGAGAUAAGUGCUGAAAGCAUCUAAGCACGAAACUUGCCC
rnacentral:rRNA from 1 species